GUGGCUUGUAGAAUUGACAAAACAACCAGCUACCAUCAGAGGCUGUUAUCGGAUCAAUCCCUCAACAGUAUGCAGCAUUUUGAGAAUGGAAUGAGAUCCAUUUCUCCGUUUGAGAGUCAGAGACUCAAAAUACACAUAAAGCUAAAAAUAAUCAAACUGUCACAUCCGUUUCUGCGAAGACAGCAAGUUCUUUGAUGCUAUCAUUGCAGUGAGAGUGCUGAGACUGUUGUAAUACCAUAUUUGUGAUCUUGUUACAGUUUCCUCUAACCAAGAACACACAGCAAAGCAAUAUAUUGGGCUGAAACUCAGCCUUCAAGAUUUAUUUUCAUUACAACUUGAACAGAGUCGGCCAUCAGGAGUCCAAUUAUUCCAAAGCUGUUUCUCAUGUAUCAGGGAUUUUGUAUUAAAUCAGAGUUAGACUCUCCAGGCUGAUGCAAUAUCAAGAAAAUAACACUUCUCUCUAGACAUUCUUUAAAAGAUAAAUAUAAUUACACAGGAAACAAGUGAAACGGUCUCAUACUGUCGGCAGUGCCUUCUGCUAGUCAGUAACAGAAAAAAAUACUAAAAUCCGGGUUUUUUUUUGCAGUGUAAAUCCUAAAGGAAGUGCACAAGCAAGCAGAGCUACACAUUCGUCUUCAGUGAGGGAGGAAACAAACCUGACAGCAUAUCAAGUGCUGACAUAACAGCAUAGCAACAGUGCAGAUCCAUAGCCCACAUCACACAUUCAGUGGAUUCAAGGCUUUUCUGCUACAAUAUUUUCACUUGUUUUGACUCAGUUUUCACAACAGUUUCAACGUGCAAAAGACAUCUUCUUUGAGGCUCCAGCUGUAGCAUGUUGAACUGUUUUAAAUGGCAGUAUUUCCAUUGUGUAAAUGAGGUCAUGGUGCAUACAAUUAAAUAGACAGCACUUGAAAAUGGGAGAUAUGUUAGGAGCUUUGACUGUAACACAGCGUUGGGGGGUUGAAGGCAAUUUGUACAAUAAAACUGUAACAUGACUCUUUCCAGUAGCUGGUUGUGAUGUCACUGCUUGCCUCAUGUGAGUAAUUGCUGUUUCAUUCUCUGAACAGAGUAGCAGGAGUGACGUCUGUCAACCAGACAGAAAACAGCUUCAAGGCCGCCAAUGCCAGCUCAUGGAAGACGGAUCAGAUGCUGAUGUCCCCCUUCACUGGGAGGGAGAUGGAAAGAGACCUUCCCCUAGUGGAGCAUCGAAGCACCUCAUUGCAUACUACUGACAGACAGCCCAACAGAACAAGGGAUUGUCACCAGUCACAUUGUGUGCAGGCCGGCAAGCUCCCGACCCCUCCCUCCCUCAUCCUCCCCUGUUCCUGCCCCUCACCUCCCUCUCGGUUUCUCCCAACAGCAACAGCUGGUGCGCUUUCGCGAUUUCAUCUUGGACUUGCAGAGGCAGCAUCGUGUCAAAGUCUGAGAGGAUCUUUGUCAACGGGUCCAAGAAGAAGCUACCUUCACGUUGAGGAUGAUCACUAGUGAUGAGAGGUCGGUCUACAGCUACAACCCAAAGACCAAAGACCAAACAGCAGUCUUCACAGUGGAAGAACCCACAGUCUCUAAAGUGACAGUCUUCCAGUGCCAAGAAGGUGCGUGGUCAGACAUGCACCAAGACCAUGAAACUCAUUUUGUAUUGAUGGAGUUAAGUAUUGUGAAUUUAUCUUCAGGGUCAGACUGACAAUGGCAAGUUCUAGUACAUCCUGAGACAUCUGAGGGAAGACAUUUGGUGCAAACGACCCUGAACUUCGGCAUGAUGAGAAGCGAAGCAACCACUCACAGCAUGUUGAAAAUUCACAAGUGCGCUUUCAAAAUGGGACUUCCAAAGAGUAUUACAAAUCAUGGCAGUGCUGGGAGCAGCGCAUCAUUGUGCAAGAUGACAACUUCAAAGGGAUGGUAACCACAUAAGGCACGUUUUUUUUCAGAAUCUGAACUUUUUAAUUGUACCUCAUAUGUCUUAAAGCUUACAGAAAAUUCAUAUCUUUUAAAAGAGUCAGACAGCUUGACAAAACAGACAUACCAGAAACUAGCAGAUGUGGGGUUUAGCAGGUCAGGCCAACUUUUCUUCAUGUCUGGUAGCAGGUCCUACAAAAAAAACACACCCAACAGCAGGCUUGUUUUAUCUGUUAGUAGAUGGUGUACUGUAAGAGAACUACAGAAAGCAGAAAGAAAUCCAUUUAUUUGCCAUAUCAAAUUCUGUCAUGCCACAUUUUAAUGUUCUGUCUGCCCUGGGUAAAAAGAAUUAAUCAUUCAGCUGUUGUGAAGACUAAAAUAAACUCUUAAAUCCUC